rnacentral:rRNA from 1 species
GACGAACGCUGGCGGCGUGCUUAACACAUGCAAGUCGAACGGUAAGGCCCUUCGGGGUACACGAGUGGCGAACGGGUGAGUAACACGUGGGUGAUCUGCCCUGCACUUUGGGAUAAGCCUGGGAAACUGGGUCUAAUACCGAAUAGGACUCCGGACUGCAUGGUCUGGGGUGGAAAGCUUUUGCGGUGUGGGAUGGGCCCGCGGCCUAUCAGCUUGUUGGUGGGUGAUGGCCUACCAAGGCGACGACGGGUAGCCGGCCUGAGAGGGUGACCGGCCACACUGGGACUGAGAUACGGCCCAGACUCCUACGGGAGGCAGCAGUGGGGAAUAUUGCACAAUGGGCGCAAGCCUGAUGCAGCGACGCCGCGUGAGGGGAUGACGGCC